UGGCUAUGAUGAGAAUCUAGGAAAGUCAUGCACCAGUCUGAUUCAUUGUGACUGAUAAACUUUCUCAUUACUCAUUUUUGCUUCUGAGCCC